ensembl:lncRNA uncharacterized LOC107701789
CGCGUUCCUCCUCCGACACACGAACCGAAACACACUUCCACAACAUGUCGUUUGACACCGAACGGUCACGUUUUAAACUAGUAGCCUAUUGAAAAAUACAUCUAAAACUGAAUGCGAAAUCGCUGUAGAAAAUGAGAAAACAAGAAUCGAGAUGACAAAUGAGACACGACCGUGUGAUUUCCUGAAGUGACUGUAACUCCUGCUCGCGCUCAGACACCCGACCCACAUGGCCCACAGCAGCGAUCAGUACACGUCUCUAAACUAUCCCGAGGAGAAUGACGAAACCAGGAGUGAAGAGUUUGAGUCAGAACUUCACCCAGACGUCACUCACAACCGUUCCACAACCGUCAUUCACCAGCAUAACACAGUGAGCUACGCCCAUCAGACGCCCUUCCCCAGCUGGGACGGCCCCAUCAGGGCGGAUUCUCCUCACAGCCUGCCCUCCUGCCUCCCGUCUGCCAUCUACCACACGCUCUCGGAUGAAGGCUCGUUUUUCCCCAGCAGGCCUCACUCUCUGCCGGGCAGCUGUAGUCCGAGUCUGGAGAGUCUGGAGUAUCCCAGAUCUCUGCGUUCCUUUCCUCCGUCUGCGAACAUGUACCACCAUCCCUCCCCCUCGUACCCCAACGCUUACCUGCGGCCGCCGUGUUGCGGUCAGUUCGGUCCACCGCCGCGUCACAUGAUUCCCAUCCAUCACUGCAGCUCCAGACACGGACAUCAGCCGCCCUACAGACCCUCAGGCCUGAUGCAGUACAGACAAAUGGACACACGCUUCUCUGAAAAUGGAAAUGCAUCUGUGAACUCCAGACAGGCCAGUCAGUGUAUCACACACCUGCCACAGGAACAGAGGAAAGUUUUUGUCACGUACGAGGCCGACAGUGAAGAGCAUUUGAAGGAGAUCAUUAAGUUUGUGUCUUUGCUGAGGAACAACGGCUUUGACACGCAUGUACAGAUCAUUAUACAGUUUCCGGUUUAAUCUAGCUGUAGUUUUGUGGGUUUGGAUUGAUUCUUGUGUCUUUGUGCACAGAUUGAUGUUUUCGAGCAGCAGCUGAACAGCAUCAGUAAGAUCGACUGCAUGGAGCGAUAUCUCAAUGAGGUAAACAUGCAGAGACCGGAAGUGAUGUCAUCAUCAUCAUCUAAACAGCUACAGUUACAGCGUCUCUCUCUCCCUGCAGAAAGAUUACCUGAUCAUCAUCAUCAUCAGCCUGAGGUAUUACGAGACCAUAUCAGGCAUGAAUACCAGUGUGGAGGGCGACGAGAGAACGUCAAACACUGUGUACAUCCACAAACAGCUGCAGAGUGAAUUCAUUCAGAACGGCUGCAGGAACUACAGGUUCAUUCCUAUUCUGUUCCCGGGGGCUAAAAAGUGUUACAUUCCCACCUGGCUGCAAAACACGCACGUCUACAGCUGGCCGAAAGACCGGGAUGAUAUUCUGCGCAGGUUAAUGCGUGUGGAGAAAUACAACCCUCCUCCCAUCGGCCCUCUGCCGACCAUAGUCUCCAUUCCCCUUUAGAGCAGUGCUUCAAAUCACAUACUAACAUACUACUUGACCAAUGACCUGGAACUGAUACAAUCUUUGUUUUUGACUUGUGUGAUCAGACUGCUGAAAGUUAAAGUAACAGUUCACCCAAAAAUUAAAACAUGCAGAAAAUGUGCUCACCCUCAGGCCAUCUGAGAUUAGGAUGAGUUUGUGUCUUCAUCAGAUUUGGAGAAAUGCAGCAUUGUAUCAGUGUCUCAGCAAAGGAUGCUCUGCAGUGAAUGGGUGCCGUCAGAAUGAGAGUCCAAACAGCUGAUAAAAACAUCACAAUAAUCCACAAGUAAUCCACAGCCCUCCAGUCCAUCAGUUAACAUCUGGAGAAGACAAAAGCUGAAACAAAUCCAUCAUUAGAUGUUUUUAACUUCAAACUGUUGCUUCUGGUCAAAAUAUGAGUCCAUAAUCCAUAAUAACGCCUCCUCCGGUGAAAAAGUACAUCUCCUGUUGUCUCUCACAUCAAAAUCCAGCCACAUAUGUGUUUAGAGCUGUUUAAACGGUGCUUGAUCUGUGCAGAUUUCUCUCCUGAUUCACACCAGAACACUUUUUCACUGGAGGAAGAGUUAUUAUGGAUUAUGGACUCAUAUUUUAGUUAAAAACAUCUUAAUGAUGGAUUUGUUUCUUCACAAGAUGUUAACUGAUGGACUGGAGUGCUGUGGAUUACUUGUGGAUUAUUGUGAUGUUUUUAUCAGCUGUUUGGACUCUCAUUCUGACGGCACCCAUUCACUGCAGAGCAUCCAUUGCUGAGACACUGAUGCAAUGCUACAUUUCUACAAAUCUGAUGAAGAACCACAACGUCACAUACUUCCAUUUGAAACAUUUAUCAUUGCAUACU